rnacentral:rRNA from 1 species
AUUGAACGCUGGCGGCAGGCCUAACACAUGCAAGUCGAACGAGUGGCGGACGGGUGAGUAAUGUCUGGGAACCUGCCUGGUGGCGGGGGAUAACUACUGGAAACGGUAGCUAAUACCGCAUACCAUCAGAUGUGCCCAUAUGGGAUUAGCUAGUUGGUGGGGUAAAGGCUCACCAAGGCGACGAUCCCUAGCUGGUCUGAGAGGAUGACCAGCCACACUGGAACUGAGACACGGCCCAGACUCCUACGGGAGGCAGCAGUGGGGAAUAUUGCACAAUGGGCGCAAGCCUGAUGCAGCCAUGCCGCGUGUAUGAAGAAGGCCUUCGGGUUGUAAAGUACUUUCAGCGGGGAGGCGUUACCCGCAGAAGAAGCACCGGCUAACUACGUGCCAGCAGCCGCGGUAAUUC